rnacentral:rRNA from 1 species
GGAGUUAGGAAAUGCAGGUGCGUUAAUAGCGCACUUGCUUGACUAAGGCUCCAGAGGAAGCCACGGCUAACUCUGUGCCAGCAGCCGCGGUAAUACAGAGGCGGCAAGCGUUGUUCGGAAUUAUUGGGCGUAAAGAGCACGUAGGCGGCCUUGCAAAUCAGUUGUGAAAGCCUUCCGCUUAACGGAAGAACGGCAUCUGAUACUACAGGGCUUGAGUACGGGAGGGGAGAGUGGAACU